rnacentral:rRNA from 1 species
GAUGAACGCUGGCGGCGUGCCUAAUACAUGCAAGUCGAGCGAACAGACGAGGAGCUUGCUCCUCUGACGUUAGCGGCGGACGGGUGAGUAACACGUGGAUAACCUACCUAUAAGACUGGGAUAACUUCGGGAAACCGGAGCUAAUACCGGAUAAUAUAUUGAACCGCAUGGUUCAAUAGUGAAAGACGGUUUUGCUGUCACUUAUAGAUGGAUCCGCGCCGCAUUAGCUAGUUGGUAAGGUAACGGCUUACCAAGGCAACGAUGCGUAGCCGACCUGAGAGGGUGAUCGGCCACACCUGAACUGAGACACGGUCCAGACUCCUAAGGGAGGCAGCAGGAGGGAAUCUUCCGCAAUGGGCGAAAGCCUGACGGAGCAACGCCGCGGGAGUGAUGAAGGUCUUCGGAUCGGAAAACCCUGUUAUUAGGGAAGAACAAAUGUGUAAGUAACUAUGCACGGCUUGACGGUACCUAAUCAGAAAGCCACGGCUAACUACGUG